CCUUGAUGGCGACCGGCGCACGGGUGAGUAACGCGUAUGCAACCUGCCCGAUACCGGGGUAUAGCCCAUGGAAACGUGGAUUAACACCCCAUAGUACUUUUAUCCUGCCUGGGAUGGGAGUUAAAUGUUCAAGGUAUCGGAUGGGCAUGCGUCCUAUUAGUUAGUUGGCGGGGUAACAGCCCACCAAGACGAUAAUAGGUAGGGGUUCUGAGAGGAAGGUCCCCCACAUUGGAACUGAGACACGGUCCAA
rnacentral:rRNA from 1 species